rnacentral:lncRNA from 1 species
GUUUUGGUAGCUGGGACUACCAGGGACUGCAAUUUUGCCGUUACUGUUGCUUUAUGUUGUUACUACUGUUUACCGAUCUCCUUAUUACACCUUACUAAAAGAAAAAUUAGAAUCUAGACUAAACUAGGAAUUACAAAAUAUUAUCUAUCUUCAACUUGCUCUUGAUGUCUUGCUUUCUUGUCGUCUUUUGUUUCCUGCGGUGCUUCUUUCUUCUGAAACUGCUGGGGAUGACACUGGCCUUUCGCUUUCCUGAAGACAGGUUUCAUCAUUUCGUCAUGUCUGUUGGGAAUGUUGCUUCCUUCAUUAAAUGUUGUUAUGCUGGGGAUUUUUAUUAUACCCUCCGCAUUACUGACUUUUGAUUUGAUCUUGAAUUGUAUUCCUCUGUUCUGCAGGCGGGCUCCUGACUUCAUCAGCAACAUAAACAUAAAUUAGCCUCCAUUUUUCAGGCGGGCUCCUGACUCCAUCAACAUAAAAUAAUAACAACCUCCAUUCUACAAGCGGGCUCCUAACUUCAUCGGAAACAUAAAGAUAAAUCAGCCUCCAUUCUCCAGGCUGGCUCCUGACAUCUUCAACUUAAAAUAAUAACAACCUUCGUUCUACAGGCGGGCUCCUGACUCCCCUAACUUAAAAUAAAUACCUCCGUUCUACAUGCGGGUUCCUGACUCUUCUAACUUAAAAGAGUAAUGCCUUCAUUCUACAGGCGGGAUUCCGACUUCGGCAACUUAAAAACUAACAACUCCAUUCUACGGGCGGGCUCCCGACUUCAAUGACUUAAAAGAGUAACACCUCCUUUCUACGGGCGAGCUUCCGACUUUAACAACUUAAAAUAUCGCCUCCGUUCUACGGGCGUACUCCCGACUUCAACAACUUAAAAAUAACACCUCCGUUCUACGGGCGGUCUCCUGACUUCAACAACUUAAAAAUAACGCCUUCAUUCUACGGGCGGGCUCCCGACUUCAUCAACAACAUAAAGAUAAAUCAACCUUCAUUCUCCUGGCGGGCUCCUGACUUCUUCAACUUAAAAUAAAUACCUCUGUUCUACAUGCGGGCUCCUUACUCCUCUAACUUAAAAUAAAUACCUCCGUUCUACAGGCGGGUUCCUGACUUUUCUAACCUAAAAGAGUAACACCUCCAUUCUACGGGCGGGCUCCCGACUUCGGCAACUUAAAAACUAACACCUCUAUUCUACGGGCGGGCUCCCAACUUCAAUGACUUAAAAGAGUAACGCCUCCAUUCUACGGGCGAUGUCCCGACUUCAACAACUUAAAAUAACGCCUCCGUUCUACGGGCGGGCUCCCGACUUCAACAACUUAAAAAUAAUGCCUCCGUUCUACGGGCGGGCUCCCGACUUCAACAACUUAAAAAUAAUACCUCUGUUCUACGGGCGGGCUCCCGGACUACAUUUUUUAAUUAAGUUCGUCUCUAAAAAAAUCCUAAUUAAUUACAUGCUUAAAAAUAAAAAAAAACGUAACACACUAAUGGAUAGAUUAAGACAAAUAUUAGCGGAAAGAAAAUAAAAAAAUAAAUUUGAAAUUAUAAAUAAAAAUAAAAAAAUUCGAAAUUGUAAAUAAACUAAAAAAAAUCGACCACUAAUAUUUAAAAGCAAUUAAUUAUAGCUAGAUUAAAAUUCACAUUGUUAUAUAAAAACUAUUGGAAUUAAUUAUUCACAACUAUUUGAAACUACAUUUAAUCAUAAUUACUAAAGCUUAUUAGAAAGCAAUUAAACUUAAAUGUUAACUUGCCUUGUUUGAACUCAAAUCAUACCUUAAUGCCUAAUUCCAGAAAUUAAUUCGAAUUAAAACCUUAAACGGAUUUAGCUACAUGUUUGCGAUUAACCUACUAUUGACAACAUCAAAACUUUCGCAGCUAAUGAUUUGAACAGUUUGACCAAACCGAUUUAAUAAAGAUUAACUCAUGCUAUUUCCUUUUAUUCACAUUAUUAAAUAGUUUGACAAUAACGAGCAUAUUUAAACACACAUUAUUUAAUAACCAAAUCAAAACAGAUUAUUAUUUAAUAUAUCACUACAAGCUGCCCAGACAUACGAACAUGCCAGACACUCAUAUAGAAAUAGUAUAUAGAGUGUUCUAAAUACAGUCAAUAGCAAAACUAAAUAAAAUUAAAACUUCAACUCUUCAAUUGUAUUCAUGUUUCAUGUUAUCAACUUACAAUAGCCAGUGUUAUAGUCGUAUACCUGGUAUUUGGAAAGCAAAAAAGAGGAAGAAGUCAGUAGUGCAGCAGUAGCACAACACAGCAACAACAGGGUCAGCAACCAAAGCAGUAAGCCAGUAACCAAACAGUGCAGGAAGAACCCAGGAAUAGAUUUAAAGACCAAGCAGAAAAUCCAGCAAUAACCAGUGAAGUAGUAACAGUACUAGUUCUGAGCAGUAAAGAAAAGACCUCAUGAAUUCUUAAGUUCUGAAAAUUUUAUCUGUAGAAUUCUUCCUACCUAAGUGUUAAAAUGACUCUUAUUUAUAUCUCAAAAACAAGACUACUUCUCUUCUACACUUUAAUUAUUAUUCCUCUCCUUUUAUUAUUAUCUGCUAUUUUUAAUUCCCAAUCAGCAAAAGCAGUCAAAUGUGGACCACACCAUCCACUCUUUUUACUUUAAU